rnacentral:rRNA from 1 species
GACGAACGCUGGCGGCGUGCUUAACACAUGCAAGUCGAACGGAAAGGCCCUGCUUUUGCGGGGUGCUCGAGUGGCGAACGGGUGAGUAACACGUGAGUAACCUGCCCUUGACUUUGGGAUAACUUCAGGAAACUGGGGCUCAUACCGGAUAGGAGCUCCUGCAGCAUGGUGGUGGUUGGAAAGAUUCGGCGGUUUGGGAUGGACUGGCGGCUUACCCGCUGGUUGGUCGGGUAGUUGCUUACCAAGGCUUCGACGGAUAGCCGGCCUGAGAGGGUGACCGGCCACAUGAGGACUGAGGUACGGAGCAGUCUCCUACCGGAGGCAGCGGGCGGGAGCAUUACGCAGUGGGCGCGAGCCUGAUGCGACAGCCCCCCGAGCGGGAUGAUGGCCUUCGAGUGGUAAACCGCUUUCGCCGGUGACGAAGCGUGAGUGACGGUAAUGGGUAAAGAAGCACCGGCUAACUACGUG